rnacentral:tRNA from 6 species
GCGGCGUUAGCUCAGCUGGGAGAGCAACUGGUUUACACCCAGUAGGUCGGGGGUUCGAGCCCCUCAUGCCGCACCA